rnacentral:rRNA from 1 species
CUGCUCAAUGAUUUUUUAAAUUGCUGUGGUAUUUUGACUAUACAAAGGUAUUGUAAUAAGAUUUUAAUUGAAUGCUAAGAGAAUGGAAUUUCAGGGAAAAACUGUUUUAAACUUAAAAAUUAAAUUUAUUUUAAUUUGUGAAGAAACAAUUAUUUAAAUUAAGGACAAGAAGACCCUAAGAAUUUUAAAAAUAAUAAUUUUAAUAAAUAAMAUUAUUAUUUUUUAGUUGGGGCAACUAAAAAAGAUUAUAAACUUUUUAUUUAAUAAAAUGAUCCAUUAUUAAUGAUAAUUUGAUAAAAAUACUCUAGGGAUAACAGCGUAAUAAUUUUUGAUAGAMCAUAUAGACAAAAUAGUUUGCGACCUCGAUGUUGGAUUAGGAUACUUUUUUAAUGAAGAUGUUAAAAAAAGAAGUUUGUUCAACUUUUAAAGUCCUGCUUGAUCUGAGUUCAGACCGG